rnacentral:rRNA from 1 species
CCUACGGGUGGCAGCAGUGGGGAAUAUUGGGCAAUGGGCGCAAGCCUGACCCAGCAACGCCGCGUGAAGGAAGAAGGCUUUCGGGUUGUAAACUUCUUUUGACAGGGAAGAGUAGAAGACGGUACCCGUUGAAUAAGCCACGGCUAACUACGUGCCAGCAGCCGCGGUAAUACGGAGGAGGCAAGCGUUGUCCGGAUUUAUUGGGUGUAAAGGGCGUGUAGCUGGGUUGACAAGUCAGAUGUGAAAUCUUGCGGCUUAACCGCAGAACUGCAUUUGAAACUGGCAGUCUUGAGUACAGGAGAGGCAGGCGGAAUUCCUGGUGUAGCGGUGAAAUGCGUAGAUAUUAGGAAGAACCCCGGUGGCGAAGGCAGUUUACUAAACAGCGACUGACAGUGAGGCGCGAAAGCGUGGGGAGCAAACAGGAUUAGAUACCCCUGUAGUC